AUCUUGCCAUUAGUACAUAUUAUUCUAUUGCAGAGCAAAGUUGGUACAAUGUUCAAUUAUUGUUUUCUCGAGUUUUCUUUUAUGGAAAAAUAAGUCAAUACAUAAUGAUUAUGUGACUACAAAAAUAUAUAUGCCUUCUAAAUAAUGUGUCUAUAAAUUAUAAUAUAUGUGAGAACAAAAAUCAAGUACCUAAUUAAAACAGAAAAAUAAAUCAUGGUCAACAAUAUAAAAGUCAAAUGUCCACUCCCUGAGGAUGAAGAUAAUAUAGUACUUACAAAAAAGGAAAAACAGAAAUCAAAAUUGUUGAGGAGCGGAGAUAGCGUAAAAAUGAACGAUAAAGUAAUACAUUACUUAAUAACUAAAAAUAACCAACAUCUGAGCAGCACCGGUAUAACAGGGAAAAUUCCGGUCUUACUAAUAUUUCCAUUAAUGGUUUUGAUUUUUUUACUUCUUAUGAUAUAUUUAUAAAUUUCCUAUUGUAAAAUGUAAUUACUAAUUUAUUCAUCAUAAUUCAUAAUGAUUCAUUUAAAUCUUAUUAUUACGCAAAAAUUGUAUAAUUUAUUAAAUUUAAUAUUAUGUUAAAAUUUAUUGUA